CAGCAGCCGCGGUAAUACGUAGGAGGCAAGCGUUGUCCGGAAUUAUUGGGCGUAAAGGGCUCGCAGGCGGUUUCUUAAGUCUGAUGUGAAAGCCCCCGGCUCAACCGGGGAGGGUCAUUGGAAACUAGGAAACUUGAGUGCAGAAGAGGAGAGUGGAAUUCCACGUGUAGCGGUGAAAUGCGUAGAGAUGUGGAGGAACACCAGUGGCGAAGGCGACUCUCUGGUCUGUAACUGACGCUGAGGAGCGAAAGCGUGGGGAGCGAACAGGAUUAGAUACCCGCGUAGUCCCUGUCUCUUAUAC
rnacentral:rRNA from 1 species